CGGAAUAUAGCUUAAGUUAAAGCAUUUCGCUUACACCGAAAAGACAUUUGCUAACACCA
rnacentral:tRNA from 1 species